AGAGGAAGUUUGUGUUUGAUCUUAUGGAGGACAAAACUAUGCUGCUUUGCCUUAUGGUGUUGGUGCUGCUAGGAAAUCCCACUCACGCUGAGCAUUGCAAAGGGCACAGUCACCAUUGCAAGCGCAGGUUGUGCAUGGGUUUCACAUGUCAUUCGUGUUGCAAGCAUGUGUGGAACCAUGUCAAGAAAGCCUACUGCGGCGGCACUUUUUUUAACCAUCAUUGUGUUUGCGUCGUUUGCGAAUAGAGUUGCGCUCUAGCAUCAUGCCAAAGAAUGGACAAUGUUGUCUAGUAAUAAAUUCUUCUUGUGAUCUGCAUGCAAGAACCUUGAUCA